UUUUCGCCCACCAGCGCCUCCGAGGAGGUCCCGCUACGGCCGCCGGCCCUGCUUGCGCCGGCCACCAUCCCGUGCAGAGGUGCAGCCCCCACCCCGAGCACCUGACGCACCGCCAUCCCUGAGCCCCCGCGCCGAUGACCCAUGCCGCACGCGCCGCCGUCCCUGAGUCCCGGAGUCUCCCUCGACGCCAGCGCCGCCCCCGCGAGGAGCUGCCGCGCCGCCGUUGCGAGGAGUUGUCCUGCCGCCGUCGUGAGGAGGUUCGGCCUCCUACUCGCUCCUCCGCUCCUUGACGUGCCUGCAUCUUAAUCUAGAUCAAGGGUGAUUUUCAUGAUUCAAGUCUUGUCGUGGGAAACAAGCUGAGAUUAAUGCGGAGAAUGAUGGAGGGGCCUAUUGUAAUGGUGAGGGUGGAGAAGGGGAUGGAAGCCCUUCUGCAUACUUAAACCUCAAUGGCAAUGAUGAGGUGCCAGCUCAGAAUGAGGAAGAGACCACGACAUCAGUUGCAUGUAGGCCCAAACAAGGUCGGAACAAGAUUCCCAAGGGUCGGUCUCUUAUUACCGAGCUCGAUGAAUUAGGUGAGCCCGUUGCUCCUGUCAAGGUGGUGGAGCAAAGUACACAUAAUCUAGGUGUCAUACAUAGAUCGUAUCGUAUCGUUCUUAUUAAACAUUACAAUAUAUUUGGUGUAUGGACUUCAUUCUUAUCAAAUAUUACAAUAUCUUUGGUGUAUGGGCUCUUUGUUUUAAUCUCGAUGUAUUGACUCCUCAUUUUAAUUUUGAUGUAUGGACUCUUUCGUUUAAUCAUGACGUAUGGACUUCCAUUGAA